UGGCCAUGAUGACCAGCUUAGGACACCUUUGGAUUCACCGUGAAAACAACCUCAGCGUUACCAAAUGGCUGAGCCAC